rnacentral:rRNA from 1 species
UACGUAGGGUGCAAGCGUUAAUCGGAAUUACUGGGCGUAAAGCGUGCGCAGGCGGUUAUGUAAGACAGGUGUGAAAUCCCCGGGCUUAACUUGGGAACUGCAUUUGUGACUGCAUAGCUAGAGUACGGUAGAGGGGGAUGGAAUUCCGCGUGUAGCAGUGAAAUGCGUAGAUAUGCGGAGGAACACCGAUGGCGAAGGCAAUCCCCUGGACCUGUACUGACGCUCAUGCACGAAAGCGUGGGGGGCAAACAGG